UUUUAUUUUUUUUAUCUUUUAUCUUGGUUCUUCUCUCUUCUUACUCAUUAAAAUUAGAAUAUGUAUCUGAAUAUAAAAGUGCAAUAAAUUUCUUUAUGUCGAUUAUAAUAAGUUAUUAAGGUGUGUUUCGUGUCCAAUAUUACAUUGUAUAAAAGUAUUGUUCUACGUUGAACUUAUACAUAUCUGUAUAGGGUUAGAAAGCAAAUAGGCCCUUUUCCAUUUUCCACCACCUCACCUUGAAGACCACCGCUUCUUGAUUACAGCGAUGAAUCCAUCUUCAGAGCUUCGCCGCACCACACUUUUGCUGCACGCACCGAUCAUCGGCAUCGCCUUUGCCACAUGCAUUCGAGGACUGCCUCGUCGUCUGCUACACAUGCUUCUCCACCACCGUUGUGCCGAUCUUUAUUGCCUUAAAUCACUAAGUAUAUAAUCUGCAAAAUCAAAGAUUAUAUUUCAUUUUCUUCUAAGUUGAACUUUUGUUUUAUAAUUUUAUACAUAUAUGCAUGUACUACCAUCAUAAUUGUUAAUCCCUUGUAGUCGCAAAGGUUUGUAAUUGAUAUGAUUCGACUUUAGGGCAGUUUGUUAAUGCUGCAAUUUUUUAAAGUAAUUAUUGUUAAUUAUUGUGUAAAAAUUGUGAAG
rnacentral:lncRNA from 1 species